CAAUAUAUGAGAGGGAACAUCCAUAUUUCCCCAAACCUUUUUCAUUAGAGUAUGCUCAUUUAUAUUUUUCUUGGUUGGUGUAACUAAGAAAGAUAUUGCUUAAUUUCGUAAAUAAUAUCCUCGCGAAACUAUAUCAUUGGUCAACCACCCCUGUAUUUGGUUAAAAAAUGCUAAAAGAUUUUUUUUAUUUGCUCAAUUUUUUGAUACAAAACACAUCGUGAUAUCAACAAUUGAGUUUCUCGAGACAUAUAGCAGUACUAAAACAAAAAUUGAUGAGUGUAAUAAUUAUUAACAAUAAUAAUAUGAAGAAGUCUAGUAUUUAAGAAAGUUCGCCUUAGUUUAUAGUCUUUUUGUUGCAUUUCCUCUCCCUAAAAUGUACUGCAAAAAAAAAACAUGGUAUCUUACAUUAGUGUUUUGAUUACCUUGACCUCAUCUCCCAAUUCCUCUAAUGACAUUGGACUCUUUCUCCUUCAACUUUCUCAUCAACCCUUAGCAAGAUACUCACAUCUCCUAGCUCCACCUACGUCAACACACACCUCACUAGAACUUGGUUGACCUCUCAUUGUUGUUUUUUACUCUGUUGUGCACCCUCUUCUCACAAGCGACUCAUUUUUCCGUUCUUGUUAAUCCACCUAUGUAGGCCUUUCGGUGAGGGAGCUACCACUUAGGGGCUUUAUUUGUUUGUAUGUAGAUUGGCCUUCCAAAAUUAUAUCAUCUUUUAACACUGUU
rnacentral:lncRNA from 1 species